UACGUAGGGUGCGAGCGUUGCCCGGAUUUACUGGGCGUAAAGAGCGCGCAGGCGGUCGUUCAAGUCGAGUGUGAAAGCCCCCGGCUCAACUGGGGAGGGUCAUUCGAUACUGAUCGACUUGAAGGCAGGAGAGGGAAGUGGAAUUCCCGGUGUAGUGGUGAAAUGCGUAGAUAUCGGGAGGAACACCAGUGGCGAAGGCGACUUCCUGGCCUGUUCUUGACGCUGAGGCGCGAAAGCUAGGGGAGCAAACGGGG
rnacentral:rRNA from 1 species